CUUGUUAGUGGUGGACCAAUAGCACAUUGCCACCGGCGGCAGCGUCAGCCGGGGUUUGUUUACAUCCAGUACAAGUGUGUCAGCUCAACCCCCAUGGCACUCAUGACUAGUUAAUAUUCUCCUUCAAACACAAAGGCGAGCUAACAAGACGCAAACGGGUGAUUGAGAGUUGUAGUUGAGGGCGACGCGUCACCUUCCAUGUUGGGUCACUGAGACAGCUUCAGGUCACACACCACCACUACCAUGGGUCGGACACAAGCUAAGACCAUGUCUAGCAUGUCCAGUCCAUUAGGGGUGAAGAGUUUGUUAGUGUUCACGGUGCUGAUGCUGGCUUGGUUGGCUGGCUUCCUCUCCAGGCUGUUUGCAGUUAUACGUUUUGAGAGCAUCAUCCACGAAUUUGAUCCUUGGUUCAACUAUAGAGCAACUGCCCAUAUGGUCAAGAAUGGGUUUUACAAUUUCCUUAACUGGUUUGAUGAGAGGGCGUGGUAUCCCCUGGGAAGGAUAGUAGGAGGCACAGUGUACCCGGGACUCAUGGUCACCUCCGGCAGUAUACACUAUAUACUCAAUCUUCUUAACAUCCCAGUACAUAUUCGGGAUAUAUGCGUCUUUUUAGCACCAAUUUUCAGUGGCUUAACAGCAAUUGCCACCUAUUUGUUAACCAAAGAGAUCUGGUCAGCUGGAGCUGGUCUGUUUGCUGCCUGUUUUAUUGCUGUUGUCCCAGGGUACAUCAGUCGAUCAGUGGCAGGGAGUUAUGACAAUGAGGGUAUUGCUAUCUUUGCCUUGAUGUUUACAUACUUCCUGUGGGUAAAGUCUGUGAAGACGGGUAGUUUAUUUUGGUCUUCAAUGGCUUCCCUUUCAUAUUUCUAUAUGGUGAGCGCGUGGGGUGGUUAUGUCUACAUCAUCAACCUCAUCCCCCUGCACGUAUUUGCCCUCUUACUUAUGGGACGUUUCUCCCACCGCCUCUACACUGCAUAUACAACCUUCUAUAUCUUGGGGUUAAUUUGCUCAAUGCAGAUCCCAUUUGUUGGUUUCCAGCCGAUAAGGACCUCAGAACACAUGGCAGCAGCUGGGGUGUUUGCUCUACUGAAUGCCGUCGCUGUACUCAAGUAUUUGCAGAGUGUCAUGACCCGGGCAGAAUUUAGACAUUUCUUCCUCGUGGCUGCUGGGACGGCUGCUGGUGCUGUGUUCCUGGCUGUGGUGGGGCUCACGUGGAUGGGUAUUGUUGCUCCGUGGAGUGGCAGAUUUUACUCUCUAUGGGACACGGGCUAUGCCAAGAUUCACAUUCCCAUCAUCGCAUCUGUGUCCGAGCAUCAGCCCACCACAUGGUUCAGCUUUUUCUUUGACCUACACAUCCUUGUUGCUACCUUCCCGGUAGGACUGUGGUACUGCAUCAAAAAUAUCAAUGAUGAGAGAGUUUUCAUUGUGUUGUUUGCUGUCAGUGCAGUUUACUUUGCUGGUGUGAUGGUGCGUCUGAUGUUGACACUCACACCUGUUGUCUGUGUUCUUGGUGGCAUUGCCUUCUCACGGCUCUUUGAAGUCUAUUUGAAGGAAGAGGAGCAGUCCCGUCCACAGAGUGGAGACUCCAGUGAUGAUGAUGAAGAUGGAGAGAAAAAUAACAAAUAUGAUAAGGCUGGAAAGUUACGUAAGAUGAAGCACGAGCAGCAGUCCAGCAAUGAUGGACUUGGUGUCAACAUCCGUAGUAUGGUGAUUGUGGCUGUACUGAUGAUCCUCAUGAUGUUCUCCGUCCACUGUACAUGGGUCACCUCCAAUGCAUAUUCCUCACCUUCAAUAGUCCUAGCGUCGUACAGCCAAGAUGGGAGUCGCCAGAUUUUAGACGACUUCCGUGAAGCUUAUUACUGGCUGGCACAGAACACUGACACAGAUGCACGAGUAAUGUCCUGGUGGGAUUAUGGGUACCAGAUAGCUGGCAUGGCAAAUAGAACUACUCUAGUCGACAACAAUACUUGGAAUAAUUCUCACAUAGCCCUGGUAGGGAAGGCCAUGUCCUCUAAUGAAACUGCAGCCUAUGACAUCAUGACUGCACUGGAUGUUGAUUAUGUGCUUGUUAUAUUUGGUGGUGUCAUUGGCUACUCAGGGGAUGACAUCAACAAGUUCCUGUGGAUGGUGAGGAUUGCUGAAGGUGAACACCCUAAGGAUAUCAAAGAAAGUGAUUAUUUCACUGACCGAGGAGAGUUCAGAGUGGAUGCCCAGGGUUCAUCAACUCUACUGAACUGCCUGAUGUACAAGUUAUCUUAUUAUCGAUUUGGAGAGUUAAAGCUGGAUUUUAGAACUCCUCAUGGCUUUGAUCGCACUCGUAACACUGUGAUUGGCAACAAGGACUUCAAGUUGACCUACUUGGAGGAGGCCUACACUACAGAGCACUGGUUGGUGCGAGUCUACAGAGUAAAAAAACCAGACGAGUUUAACCGCCCACGUAUCCCAGUGUCACAGAGGAAGGUGAAGAGGAGGAAUGUCUACCUCACUAAAAAGGAGCUGUAUAGUGAUCAUGACGCAGUAGAUGACUAACAAGACAAAAGUUCUCAUCUGCUUGUGUUGGGGUGAAAAGAAAUAAAAUUCAGGAAAUAGAAAAACAGGACUACCAUACAAGCAAGAGGCGCCGGGGCUCCAUCAAGAACAGGCCAGUGGUUGUCAAGGGUCACCGACCAAAGACCAAGCUCACUUAGGGUUUGGAGGUGAUUUAGCUUGUAGUUGAUUGGUAACAUUCUUCUUUUUCCCCACUUUUUACACUAUUUUGUUACUAAUUCUAUCUGUCCAUUUCACUUUUCACCCCUUGAUGUGUGUGCUUGGGUGUGAAUUUAGGUGUGUGAAAGAAUGUAAUGUACUUCCACAGUACUAUACUGAGAAGGAUGUAGCAUAUUUGCAAAAAGAAAAAGAAAAAAAUAUUCACGGGUGUUUGAUAGGAAGUUGUAUUAGAAGGAUCACAAGUUAUUUAAUAAAAAAUCCAAGUGGUAUUUAUGAUAAAAUGUCUUAAAUCUUCUUCAAGCAACAAGGCUUCCAGAUAUUACUAGCUAGAUGAAAGUUGACAAUUUACUGGCUAGCAAAUUUUGUGAAGCCAGCUCAUGCCUUAGCUUUGCUGUGAAAUGAAUCUUGCUGAAGCGUAAGGGUAAUUCACUCAUUAGUAGCUCCAAAGUUUCGCUUAUAUAACUGUUAUUUAUGAGAUAAUAAGCGAGUGGCUGAAACACUUGAGAUUGUAAUAUCAAAUUUUUUUAUUGAACAUACACGAAACACUAAUACUGUUCUAUAGCUUUGACAAAUAACGGAUAUAUUAGAGAUACACUUGGGCUACCCAUGUGUAAAUCAUCCUAUAGAUAAUUUCACAGAAGUUUUUUAUAUCAUAAUGCCUAUUUUUGGCUUCAUGUUUUGGAAAUCAACCAGUACCUUUAUUAAGUUUGACUUGAUUACAACAUGUUCUUUAUCCUGGCCCCUAAAAUGUUGUUAUAUACAUUUCCAGAAAUGUAUCCCUAAUGUUAAAUAAUUUGAAAAAUGGUGACUAUUUCAAAUUUUUUGUGCUAUGGAUAAUAAAUAUUGUUGGUAAGGGGGUCAUAGAUAAUGUAGGUAAUGGUAGGAACAAUCUUACGGUGCAAUGAACUGUAACAGCCAGGAUCCAUCUGAUUAAUUUACAUCCUUAUACUUCACACUUUUGUUUCAACAUCAUCUGUCAAUUUAUCAAACCACUUAUAAGAAACUUUUUGUGGAACAUUAAGAUGGCAGAAUUUGAAUGUAGGAAAAUAUGUACAUAAAGUUUUUUACACAAUUUAACAGUGGAAAUAUUGAUAUUUUCUGUUGUGGAAACCCUUUUCAUUCCAAUCAUGAAAAAAAAAUGCAGUAAUCUUGGAAAGAAUGGAGUGUAGAGUAUUAAGUUCAUUGCAUAAUACUUCAUGAUUAUUGUUUGCAAAAGCUACAUUCAUCGAUAGAUAAAUGGCAGUAAAUAUUUAUUACAGAAAUACAUUAAAUACAGGCUCAUGGUAAUAUUUUCUUGGUUGGGGCUACAGUAUUUAUAAUGUAGAUUGCUAUAUUCAAGUUUUUUGCAAGUUUAUCUUGUGAAAUUUAGCUAAACUGUUAUUAAUUUGGGGACUUAUUAGUAUUAUACAAGGAAUUAAAAAAAAUCUUGAUUUUAUAUGGACGCAUUUAGUUUAAGCAAUUUUUUCAUUUCUUGCAGUAUGUCUUGGGUUUAUUUAUAUCUGUGGGCAAUAAUGAAUUGAAUUUGGACGGUGAUAGAAGGAAAUUGGUACAUACAGUACCUAUAUUUUUGUGUCCAAAUAAAGUUUUGGAAUAUUUGUUAUAAGGUAAUAUAGUUUUAGACUCCCUUUUUAGGGGAAUCUAUACCUAUGUAAUGAGAGAAUUACAGAGGUAGUUUUUGGUAGUUAUGCUUAUAAAGUCACAUUCCUAUGAAAUGUAGUACAGUAUAAAAAUAAUUAUUUGAAAGUACAGUACAGUCAGACGGAAGAGUUUUACAUAUUUAUGGAUUAUCCAUAAUGCCUAAACAAGAAGUUCAGUGAGACAAGUCUUCAAAGCUCAGUGACCACAGUUAUGCAUUACAUUUUCAUACUUGGGGUGCUAUAAAACAUUGCUGAAGAGAUGUUUAAAAGUCAAUUUUGAUAGUUUAGCAUCAGUGACCAAUCUAAACUGUGUUGUCGUAAUUUUAAUUCAUUCUGUAUUGUAUGGUAUGAAAAUUAUCAAAGUCAAGAAACUUGACUUAUCCAACUGUUAAACUUCAGAGCUUUUUGCUUGACCUGUAAAACAUUUUUGUAUGAAAUUUUUGAAGAUAUCGUGUGAACAAAUGCUAUACAGGGUAUUUAUUUUCUGUUACUAUACCAUAAGUAUUUGUUGAAAUCAUUUGAAAUGCUACACUAUUAACAUCAUAUUUAAUUUAAUUAAAAACAGUGAUAAAGAAGAGCAACUAAAUCAGAGUAAAGUUGGAUGCAAGUGUCAAAAUGAAAAAAAUAAAUAGGAAACUGUUGAUGCUGCAAUCUAGUCCUUGUAAAAUAUUUUGUUCUGUGAAAAUAAGUUGACUGACAUGGGAUUCUUGCCACAAAAACUGUGUCCAGUGGCUCAAUGUAAAUAAUGCUGUUCUUAUGCUUGUGAAUAUCAUAGCUCUAGUAUUCUAUUGGGGAUGUGCAUACUUGCUCUCCUUUAAAUAUUGGGUUCUGGCACAUCUAUUAAAAAUGGCAGAGGAACAAGGACUUGGUUUAUGAAGCCAAAUAGUAAUGCUUGUACUGUAUAAGAAAGGUGGAUAAGUCAAUAAAUUUUCUAGAAGAGAAAGUAUGUUUACUUUUGUACACCAUCUAAAUUUUAUUGAUGUACUGUAAUUACAAGGUUGAAAUCUUUUCUUAUGAAUAAUAUUCUCAUUCAUAUCAUUCAGAAAUCUUUUUGUAGGGGAUGAAAUUUUUUUUUACACACACACACACACACAUAUAUAUAUAUAUAUACACACACUUAGUACUGUAAUUACAACUCUUGAAGCAUUUUUUAAAUUUAUUAAAAGUACAGUACUGUACUGUACUUAAAAAGUCUUGUGGGGAGUUUUCUGCAGUGACGUAUUUUUUAAACAGGUGGAAAUUUGUUUUGUCAAAGCCACAAAUGGAUAUUAUAGCAAAAUUUUCAAAAUCUUGAGGAGAAAUGGUUGUAAAGACAUUAGAUGUCAUCCUUUGUUUGUUUUUGUAAUGGGUAACAGGCUUUUUGUACCAGUGUUUUUUUUUAUUAUUAUUGGACAUACUUUUAUUGAAAUUUUAUAUUAAGUUCACAACUUGUGCUAGUGAUAUUUUUUUUCUAAUUUGUGGAAUGUGUGCCACUUCCUAUGCACUCGCCACUGUCUAGGAUGAAUCAUGUUGUUAUCACAGUGUUAUUGUAUUUAUAAAAAUGCCUAAGGAUCCAA